CACGUAGGGUGCGAGCGUUGUCCGGAAUUAUUGGGCGUAAAGAGCUCGUAGGCGGUGUGUCGCGUCGGCCGUGAAAACCUGCAGCUUAACUGUGGGCUUGCGGUCGAUACGGGCAUCACUGGAGUUCGGCAGGGGAGACUGGAAUUCCUGGUGUAGCGGUGAAAUGCGCAGAUAUCAGGAGGAACACCGGUGGCGAAGGCGGUUCUCUGGGCCUGUACUGACGCUGGAGGAGCGAAAGCCGUGGGGAGCGAACAGG
rnacentral:rRNA from 1 species